CACGUAGGGGGCAAGCGUUGUCCGGAUUUAUUGGGCGUAAAGAGCUCGUAGGUGGCUUGUCACGUCGGGUGUGAAAGCCCCGGGCUCAACCUGGGAAUGGCGAUGGAUACUGGCUCGCUAGAGUGCGGUAGAGGAGAGUGGAAUUCCCGGUGUAGCAGUGAAAUGCGUAGAUAUGUGGAGGAACACCGAUGGCGAAGGCAGCCCCCUGGGUCAACACUGACGCUCAUGCACGAAAGCGUGGGGAGCAAACAGG
rnacentral:rRNA from 1 species